rnacentral:rRNA from 1 species
GGGAAGAGCCCAGCGCCGAAUCCCCGGCCUUCGGUCGAGGGAAAUGUGGCGUUUGGGAGUGAGCGUGCCGGGUUCGCGACGGACGGCAAGUCCCCCUGACCGGGGCCUGUCCGCAGCGGGUGCGAGGCCCGUAGCCGUCGGUCGCGUCUCGGACGCGAUCUCCUCGGAGUCGGGUUGCUUGGGAGUGCAGCCCCAAUCGGGUGGUAAACUCCACCUAAGGCUAAAUACGGCCGUGAGACCGAUAGCAAACAAGUACCGUGAGGGAAAGUUGCAAAGAACUUUGAAGAGAGAGUUCAAGAGUACGUGAAACUGCUCAGAGGUAAACGGGUGGGCCCUCGAAAUCCUGUGGCGAGGGGAUUCAGUCUGGCGAAGGCGACUCGUAGCCUCGGCGGCGUCCAGUCUCCUCUGGGCCGCCGGGCAACCGAGGCCUCGUCGUUGCCAGACGCAUUUGUCUCUCGUCCGAAGGACGCUGCGGCCGGUCGGGCAGUGCAAGCGCGUCGGCCUUGAGGAGGGGAGCCGGCAGGUGGCCGGUGGCGCGCCUCGUGUGCGUCGCCGGUUGUUAGCCAUCCCCUCGGUGGCACGACGCCCGACCGUGGUGUCGCGAGGCCCUUUCUGGGCCCCCGCGUCUCCUCCCCCAGUCGUGGCGGGACAGACGGCCGCAGGCGAACCCCGCCUCCCGCCGCACUCCUCCGGAGUGGGCGGGCGAACGGGCGACGUCGCUGGUGGCCGCGGACCCGCGGGAGGUCGGAGGCAGGCAGCGAGUAGGUCGGUCACCCACCCGACCCGUCUUGAAACACGGACCAAGGAGUCUAACAUGUGCGCGAGUCAAUGGGGCUUGGACAGGCCCAGGGGCGCAAUGAAAGCGAAGGUCGUGCAAAUCGACCGAGUCGGGAUCCUCCCUCGAGAGGGGGAGGCGCACCGACGACCCGUCCCGUUCGGCUCGCCGUUGGGACGGAGUUUGAGCGUACACGUUGGGACCCGAAAGAUGGUGAACUAUGCCCGGACAGGACGAGGCCAGAGGAAACUCUGG